CCUAAUUUCCCAAAUUAGAAACCCAAACCCUAGAGACCCCAUCCCUCACCCACGGAAGCCUCACAGCAAGAAAAAGGGGGAAGAUGGGAAUCAGAGAAGAGAAAAAGGAACCAGAGAGGAGGGAGAUGCCGUUGCAACUGCCGCCGUCCCUGUCGCCGUUUGCGGUGCCGGCGAGGAGUGCCGUCGCCAGGAGAGAAGAGUGACGCGGAGGAGGGAGAUGAAGCUUUAUUGUCGUCGCGCUUUGCUGCCACGAGGCCGCCGUCGCCGCUGCUUCGAAGGGAGCCGUAGUCAUCGCCGUCAAGCAUGAAGGGUGGAGAAGAGAGAGCUUGCUCAUCGCAGGAAGCAUAGCCGCGCCAUCACCGUUGAGCCUAGAUGCCAUCGAUGGAAGCCACCGCAGCCGCCUGAGAAGAACCCACAGAGAGAGAGGGAGCCCGAGAGAGGAACGCAAACCUCUGUGUUGCGCUGUCAUUCUGUCGCUGUUCUGCCGGGUUGAUGCUGCCUUUGCUAUCCAAGCUGUCACCAGAGUCUAGAACAGCACCAGCCUUCUUGUUCUGGUUCUGAUAUUCCUAUUCUUGAACCUGUGAUAGUGUCGGUGAUAAUAAAGAACUGUUGGAGUUGCUGCUGCUGCUGCUGUUCCGGCCGCAUUGGCUGUUGUAAACUAGGAAAAAGAAAAGGAUCGUUGCGUUUAAAUUCGACGGUUUCAACUAAUUGAGUGACACAGAUUCGAAGACUCCGUUUGAAGCUGCAGGCGAUUAUAGAUCUUAUUUAUGAGUUAAGUUUAUGACUUGAGUUAUUUUCAUAGAAGUUCCCUCGCUCUUAUUGCUUAACAUUUUUAUUCUAUACAGAGGGAUAGGAUUUGUAUCUAAGUUUUAUUGGAAAUCUUUUGUAUGACAGAUAUUAUUAUUAGUAAU